AUUGAACGUUGGCGGCGUGCCUAACACAUGCAAGUCGAGCGGCAGCGCGGGAGCAAUCCUGGCGGCGAGCGGCGGACGGGUGAGUAACGCUUGGGAAUCUGCCUGGUUAGUGGGGGACAACCCGGGGGAAACUCGGGCUAAUACCGCAUACGCACUACGGUGGAAAGCCGGGGACCGCAAGGCCUGGCGCUAACAGAUGAGCCCAAGUCGGAUUAGCUAGUUGGUACGGGUAACGGCCUACCAAGGCGACGAUCCGUAACUGGUCUGAGAGGACGACCA
rnacentral:rRNA from 1 species